GAUUUUCAAACAUCUUACUACCUUGAGGUGCAUACACAGAUCCUUGUAUUGCUAUAUGAAUUGAGGGCAACUUAAUUUUCUUAUUGCCUUAACGUACAUGGUGGGGCUGUAUCAUUGGGACACCCAUUAGGAUGCAGUGGAGCUCGUAUCUUGGUCACAUUGUUAGGGAUCUCUACAAAUUUUUAUUCUCCAAAUAUGAAUGUUGUCAAUGAGAACUUCCUCCCUCUGCUCAAACGCCUUGAUGACUGCAUAGUGUAUGUAGAAAACAAUCCACAGUAUGCUGAAUCCGGCGUUUACUUACUCAAAUUUUGACAACUGCAGUCUCGAGCAUUGGGUAUGAUUCGCUCUCAUGUACUUUCUGUACUCAAAAGUGCGUCUUCUCAGGUUCAGUCAGCAAUCCGGAGCAAUAGUAGCAGCAAGGCAUCUCUUGCUGAGGGUGUAGAGGCAUCUGUUAUAUAUGUUCAUUUCAAGGCAGCGGCAAGUGAGGUACUGUUUCUUUCUUAGCGAUUCUUUUUUAUUAAGACUCCUGUUUGGUCAGUAAUGAUAUGUAAUUAAAUCUCCUCUGCUGUAGGUUCAUGCGGCCAGAAACUGCACAAGGCAUAUUUGUUAACUUCAAAGACUUGUACUAUUACAAUGGGAACAAGCUUCCUUUUGCUGCUGCUCAAAUUGGCCAGGCUUUCAAAAAUGAGAUAUAUGAACUGGGUUGGAACUGGGACAAUUUAGAACUUCUAGCACAGGGUAGAAACUUCAUGUUAUUAUAAAUGGCA